GCCGAGGUAGCUCAGUGGUAGAGCAGGGGACUCAUAAGCCCUUGGUCGCGAGUCCGAAUCUCGCCCUCGGCAC
rnacentral:tRNA from 1 species